GAAAAAGGUGAGAAAUAUAUGCAAAUCUUUUAUUACUCAUUUUAAUCGUGUUGACGAAAACACAAAUCCAAUAACCGUUUAGGGAUUGCAAUUGUUAAUCCCUCUGAAAUUGAUCGUUCCAGUUCAGACUUCAUCAAGUGAGGGUCUGGGGAGCUCAAAAAGUUUGGGUGUCGGUGCUCAAGCUCCAGGCGAAGUCAAUCCCGAUGAUGACAUCUACGAGCAGUAUAAGAAGAGGAUGAUGCUAGGCUAUCGCCACUGACCAAAUCCUUUGAACAAUCCACGGAAAGCAUAUUACUGACAACAUUUCAGUAAGUAUCCCCAUUUGAGAAUAACCAGAGUUCUCCAUAUAUUUGAAGCUGCUUGUGUAUUCUGGAACCAUUACAAAAUUCAGUACAAGUUGGUGUUAUAUUUGUUUGUACCUAAUUAUUUUGUUUUUCUUGUCUGUACGCACUUUAUUUUCCAUUAUUUUGCCCCUUGGUGAAUGAUAUCUACUUGGUGUUUUGUGAACCAA